rnacentral:sRNA from 2 species
GCGAAUGUUUUCUAGGGUUCCGCGGCUAUAAGGUCGGACAGGUCCGAGAGAAAACUCACGGCGCAUGCCGUGCCACGGAGGGACAAAAGCCCGGGAGAU